UGAUCGCCGCGGACCCGAGCCGAGCCCACCCCCCUCCCCAGCCCCCCACCCUGGCCGCGGGGGCGGCGCGCUCGAUCUACGCGUCCGGGGCCCCGCGGGGCCGGGCCCGGAGUCGGCAUGAAUCGCUGCUGGGCGCUCUUCCUGUCUCUCUGCUGCUACCUGCGUCUGGUCAGCGCCGAGGGGGACCCCAUUCCCGAGGAGCUUUAUGAGAUGCUGAGUGACCACUCGAUCCGCUCCUUUGAUGAUCUCCAACGCCUGCUGCACGGAGACCCCGGAGAGGAAGAUGGGGCCGAGUUGGACCUGAACAUGACCCGCUCCCACUCUGGAGGCGAGCUGGAGAGCUUGGCUCGUGGAAGAAGGAGCCUGGGUUCCCUGACCGUUGCUGAGCCGGCCAUGAUCGCCGAGUGCAAGACGCGCACCGAGGUGUUCGAGAUCUCCCGGCGCCUCAUAGACCGCACCAACGCCAACUUCCUGGUGUGGCCGCCCUGCGUGGAGGUGCAGCGCUGCUCCGGCUGCUGCAACAACCGCAACGUGCAGUGCCGCCCCACCCAGGUGCAGCUGCGACCUGUCCAGGUGAGAAAGAUCGAGAUUGUGCGGAAGAAGCCAAUCUUUAAGAAGGCCACGGUGACGCUGGAAGACCACCUGGCAUGCAAGUGUGAGACAGUGGCAGCUGCACGGCCUGUGACCCGAAGCCCGGGGGGUUCCCAGGAGCAGCGAGCCAAAACGCCCCAAACUCGGGUGACCAUUCGGACGGUGCGAGUCCGCUGGCCCCCCAAGGGCAAGCACCGGAAAUUCAAGCACACGCAUGACAAGACGGCACUGAAGGAGACCCUCGGAGCCUAGGGGCAUCGGCAGGAGAGUGUGGGCAGGGUUAUUUAAUAUGGUAUUUGCUGUAUUGCCCCCAUGGGGUCCUUGGAGUGAUAAUAUUGUUUCCCUCGUCCGUCUGUCUCGAUGCCUGAUUCGGACGGCCAAUGGUGCUUCCCCCACCCCUCCACGUGUCCGUCCACCCUUCCAUCAGCGGGUCUCCUCCCAGCGGCCUCCGGCGUCUUGCCCAGCAGCUCAAGAAGAAAAAGAAGGACUGAACUCCAUCGCCAUCUUCUUCCCUUGACUCCAAGAACUUGGGAUAAGAGUGUGAGAGAGACUGAUGGGGUCGCUGUUUGGGGGAAACAGGCUCCUUCCCCUGCACCUGGCCUGGGCCACACCUGAGCGCUGUGGACUGUCCCGAGGAGCCCUGAGGACCUCUCAGCAUAGCCUGCCUGGUCCCUGAACUCCUGGCCAGCUCUGAGGGGAGGCACCUCCAGGCAGGCCAGGCUGCCUCGGACUCCGUGGCUAAGACCACAGACGGGCACACAGACUGGAGAAAACCCCUCCCACGGUGCCCAAACACCAGUCACCUCGUCUCCCUGGUGCCUCUGUGCACAGUGGCUUCUUUUCGUUUUCGUUUUGAAGACGUGGACUCCUCUUGGUGGGUGUGGCCAGCACACCAAGUGGCUGGGUGCCCUCUCAGGGCCUCCUGCCACCUGACUCCAGCUGAAGACUCUGAGGAUGGGGGCCACAUGAGGGUGAUUACAGGGUCCCUUCUUCGGCAGGACCAGCUGCAUCAGACAGCGAAGAGGAGCUGCUCAGCUGGCAAGGGGAUUUGGCGAGGAGUGAGGGUUCAGGGUGUUCCAAUCAGCCAGAAUCCUCCCUAGAGCUGGCUCUUCCUUCCCGGUGACUCCAGGUGGCAAAUCUGACAUUCUGCUUCCCCUGCAUGCCAUGGCUUCCAGAUCUGAGCCCUUAUGAUGUGCUGAAUUUUUACUGACUUCAGCCCCAAGCAGUCCAGAUAACCAAUUCCAGCUUCUCCGAGCUUCCUCCAACAUCCACUGCCUGUAACCACUCCUGACACCAACUUCUAUAUAAGGCAAGGUUCUUAGUUGCAGGUAACAGAAACCAGCUCCGGUUAACUUAUAAAGAAACGGAUGUUCAAAGAAUGGAUAUUGAAAAGGAUAUUCAAAGAAUUCCAGGUGACUCAUGCAUUGCUGAGCAGGCUUGGAGACCUGGGUUUGUGGUAUGCAAACAGGAUCAAUCCUCUCCAAUGCAGCCUGAGGUCAGUGCUCUGAACACCUGUUUGACACUGCAGCCCCUGUGACUGGCACCUUCCAACUGAAUACCCAGCACUGGGCACUGUGGCUCCACAGCUCAGCCAGGGAGACGCUCUGCUUCUUUGCAGCACUCAUUUUGUUGUUCAGUCUUGAGUUGUUGUGCCUGAUUGGUGAGCCUCACAGACUUCAGCUGUGUCUGAGAAAGGGCGUAGUGGGGAUUUUUAGUUUCUAGGCGGGCGGGCGGGGGGUGGUCCCUGGGUCCACAGCCUACAAGGUGCGGUUCAGACGGUGUGUGGUCAAAACAACAAAACGUAAGUGGAAUGUCUGUUUCAUUCUGUACCACGUUUCUUCCAUUUCUUCCAGCUGAGCACAGGAUGAGGCUGCCUGCCCAGAUAGCUGUCCCUUCUGACUUAGGAUCUCUUUGGCUGUACAUUUAAGGAUGAAGAAGUGUGUAGCUGUUUUACCUAUGACUGGAUUCCCAGAUCCUAGCUCAGUUGCGGACACACCAUGGGCACUCACUUCAUGUUGUUAGGUGAUGGAACAUGUCUUGUGGGGACAGGACUAAGGGUGAGACACCUGCCCCAGGUGCAAAGGUUAAAGGGGCACCAAAAAUUCUCAGUGAUCAAAAUAAGUCAUCAUUUCAUGCAAUAUGUAUAUAUUUUUUGAGGCAGAGUCGCACUCUGUCACCCAAGCUGGAGUGCAGUAGCGUGAUGUCAGCUCACUGCAACCUUCGCCUCCUGGGUUCAAGUGAUUCUUGUGCUUCAGCUGCCUGAGUAGCUGGGACCACAGGCACAUGCCACCACACCUGGCUAAUUUUUGUAUUUUUAGGACAGACGGGGUUUUGCCAUGUUGGCCAGGCUGGUCUCAAACUCCUGACCUCAAGUGAUCUGCCUGCUUCAGCCCCCUGAAGUGCUGGAAUUACAGGCGUGAGCCACCACGCUCAGCCUCAUGCAGUAUUUUAAGAAAUCAAAAUUAAUGCAAACAAGUUCACCACGAGCCAGUCCAGGAGUGGUGGCUCAUGCCUGUAAUCCCAGCACUUUGGGAGGCCGAGGUGGGCAGAUACUUGAGGUCAGGAGUUUGAGACCAGUCUGGCCAACAUGGUGAAACCCCGUCUCUACUAAAAACACAAAAAUUAGCCAGACAUGGUGGCGGGCGCUUGUAAUCCCAGCUACUUGAGAGGCUGAGGCAGGAGAAUCGCUUGAACCUGGGAGGUGGAGGUUGCAGUGAGCUAAGAUUGCACCACUGCACUCAAGCCUGGGUGAGCGAGACUCCAACUCAAAAAAAAAAAAAAAAAAAAAAAAGAAAGAAAGAAAAAAAAUUUACCAUGAGCCAAAAUUUCAAAAUUUCACUUCAAGACAGGAGUUGAAACGAGCACUUACACAAUGCCUCGCUCGCCUCACUCUAAUCUUGGCUUUGUCAGAUCCUGUCUUGUUUUAAAAUGUUGUGCUCCGGGUAGGGGCCUGGCUUGCCUCACCACAGCCCAGGCCCUGCUGACCCAGCUCCAUGUUCACUGUCCUUUCUUCUUCCUUCUGUGGCCUUGGUUUUGGGUCCUCACUCUCUUUUGACCAAACCAUUGAGAAACUCCUCUGGGGUUCCCUCUCCUCACCCCGGACUAUCCCACCAUGAGCCACGUCACUCUCUGCUGCCCCCUUAGGCUUCUUGACGCAGAGUAGUCAAGCCGCUCCCUUGCUCAUAACCUUCCAUGACUUCUGACCCCAGGCGAGGCUCACACUCACCAACAAGGCAUGCAAAACCCUCUGUGGUCAGCCCAGGGAGGCUUCUUCCUCCCAAGCCUCCCCACCUGUCACCUGCCCUCCUCCUCCAUAUCCAGGCCGUGCCUUUCUCCACAUCUGUACUUCACUGACUAUCUUCAAAGUCAACCUCAAAUUCACUAGAAAACCGCCCCUGGAGGAAUGUAAAAUGGUAUAGCCACUGUGGAAAACAGCAGGGUGGUUCCCCAGAAACAUUCACACAGAAUUACGAUAUGACCCAGCAAUCCCACUUCUGGGUAGAUACCCCAAAGAACUUAAAACAGGGUCUCGAAGAAAUAUUUGCACACCCAGGUUCACAGUGGAAUGAUUCACAAUAGCCAAAAGGUGGAAGCAUGGCCGGGCACGGUGGUUCACGCCUGUGAUCCCAGCACUUUGCGAGGUUGAGGCAGGCGGAUCACCUGAGUUCAGGAGUUCGAGAGUUGGCCAGCCAACUCUCUGUUGUUCAGCCUGGCCAACAGAGUGAAACCCUGUCUCCACUAAAAAUACAAAAAUUAGCCGGGCGUGGUGGCGGGCACCUGUAAUUCCAGCUACUCGAGAGGCUGAGGCAGGAGAACCACUUGAACUUGGGAGGUGGAGGUUGCAGCGAGCCAAGAUCGCGCCACUGCACUCCAGCCUGGGUGACAGAGCGAUAGUCCAUUUUUGUAUUCUAGAAAGAAAUACCAGAGGCUGGGCAAUUUAUAAAGAUGAGGUUUCAUUGGCUCACAGUUCUGCAGGCCGUACCAGCAUGGCGCCAGCGUCUGCUCCUGGUGAGGCCUUACAGACGUUACAAUCACGGUGGAAGGCAAAGGCGGAGCAGGCAUGUCGCAUGGUGAGAGCAGGAGCAUGAGAGAGUGGGGGGCGGGGGUGCCACAGACUUUAAAAAAUUUUUUUUUUCUUUUGAGACGGAGGCUUGCUCUGUCACCCAGUCUUGCUGUGUUGCCCAGGCUGGAGUGCAGUGGCGCGAUCUCGGCUCACUGUAAUCUCCACCUCCUGGGUUCACACCAUUCUCCUGCCUUAGCCUCCCUAGUAGCUGGGACUACAGGCGCCUGCCACUAUGUCCGGCUACUUUCUUGUGUAUUUUUAGUAGAGACGGGGAUUCACCGUGUUAGCCAGGAUGGUCUCGAUCUCCUGAUCUUGUGAUCCGCCCACCUCGGCCUCCCAAAGUGCUGAGAGUACAGGCGUGAACCACCAUGCCCGGCGGGUGCCACUGACUUUUAAACAACCAAAUCUUGUGCAAACUCGAUCAUCACCAAGGGGAUGGUGCUAAACCAUUCAUGAGGGAUCGGCCCCCAUGACCCAAACACCUCCCGCCAGACCCCGCCUCCAACACUGGGGAUUACAUUUCUUUCAUUCUUUUUUUUUUUUUGAGGUGGAGUCUCCCUCUUGUUGCCCCGGCUAGAGUGCAAUGGCACGAUCUCGGCUCACUGCAACCUCUGCAUCCUGGGUUCAAGCAAUUCUCCUUGCCUCAGCCUCCUAAGUAGCUGGGAUUACAGGUGCCUGCCACCAUGCCUGGCUAAUUUUUGUAUUUUUAGUAGAGAUGGGGUUUCACCAUGUUGGCCAGGCAGGUCUCGAACUCCUGACCUCAAGUGAUCCGCCUGCCUCGGCCUCCCAAAGUGCUGGGAUUAAAGGCAUGAGCCACCACACCCAGCCUACAUUUCCACAUGAUUUUAGAGGGAACAAACAUCCAAACUAUAUCAACGUACAAUGGAAUAUUAUUUAACCUUCAAAAGGAAGGAAAUCCUGGGAUAUGCUGCAACAUGGAAGAACCUUAAGGACAUUCUGCUAAGUGAAAGAAGCCAUUCACAAAAGUGCCAGUGCUGUAUGAUUCCAUCAUAUGAUAUAAUUAGAGUAGUCAAAAUUAUAGAGACAAAAAGUAGAAUGGUGGUUGCCAGAGGCUGGGAGGGGGAAUUGCGGAGUUAGCGUUUAAUGGAUACAAAGAGUUUCAGUUUUACAAAAUGAAAAUAGUUCUGGAGACAAUGGGGGCGAUGGUCACGCAACAUUAUGAAUGUACUUAAUACUACGAACUGUACACUUAAAACAGUUACAAUGGUACAUUUUUUUUUUUUUUUUUAGACAGAGUCUCCCUCUGUCGCCCAGGCUGGAGUGCAGUGGCCCAAUCUCGACUCACUGUAACCUCCGUCUCCCGGGUUCAAGCAAUAUUUCUGCCUCAGCCUCCCGAGUAGCUGGGACUACAGGCACACGCCACCACCCAUCUAAUUUUUGUAUUUUUCAUAGAGACAGGGUUUCACCAUAUUGGCUAGGCUGGUCUCGAACUCCUGACCUUGUGAUCUGCCUGCCUCAGCCUCCCAAAGUGCUGGGAUUACAGGCAUGAGUCACUGCACCUGGCUUACAAUGGUAAAUUUUUUGUUAUGUGUAUUUUAACACAGUAAGUGCAGGCACGGUGGCUCACGUCUGUAAUCCCUGCAUUUUGGGAGGCCGAGGCAGGCAGAUCACUUGAGUUUAGGAGUUCAAGACCAGCCAGGGCAACAUGGCGAAACCCCGUCUCUACUAAAAAUACAAAAAUGAGCUGGGCAUCGUGGCGGGCACCUGUAGUCCCAGCUACUCGGGAGGCUGAGGCAGGAGAACUGCUUGAACCUGGAAGGUGGAGGUUGCAGUGAGCCGAGAUCAUGUCACUGCACUCCAGCCUGGGCAAUAGAGUGAGACGCUGUCUCAAACAAACAAACAAACAAAAAUACAAUAAAAAAUUGGGGAAAGAAAUAAGAAAAAAAAAAAAAACCUGCUCCUGCAGCUCUUCUGGCCAGAAGUGAGGUUUUUCUUCUCUGAAUGCAUUCAAACAUUCUACCCAAGAUCUCCUUGAAUUAGGAAGGCACUGGGUGCCAAAGUCUGUCUUUGAGGUCAGGAUCUGCGCCUGUGCCUCCUAAGGCCUGCCUUGGUGCCUGGGGCCUGCAGACGCUGGACGGAUGAAGGAACCAAUGGCAGGGGCUCAGCCCAUAGCUCUGGCUAAAGCUCUCCAGUGCACAGAGGCCACAUGGAGCUCCGCAUGGUGCAGUCACCUGUCAGCACCUGGGCACUCAAGUACCCUGACCUGCACACUCAGAGCCAAGAGACGGCAGGUGCAGGUGAGGCAGAUGUAACUGACACCCGGCAGCAGCCCCGUGCAUUUGAGGCCUCUGGUGACCUGCGGGCAGCAGAGUGGUGAGGAACCCAGGUUUGGGUCUAGGUGCCAGCUCUGCUGUUUGCUAGCUUUGUCUCCUUGUCUGCUAAAUUGGCAGAGAAUCGCCUCAGCUUUAUGAGAUUGUGUGAGGAUCAAAUGGGACUAUGCCUGGGAACUGCUUCCUGUGGCAAUUUUUGGGAGGGCAGACCCUGCCCAGCAGCCAUCCCUCUUUAUUUCUCUUGCUAAACAGAGCCCUGGUCUGCUUAUGGAACCAGCUGAAAUGCUGCGAUCUCAGUGCCAGAGGCUGGUCUCAUCAGUCCUGGGCAUCUGAUUCUCCUGGACCGAUGGUGGGUCUGAGUGUGGCCAUAUAACGGCACUCUGGCUAAUGAGACAUGAGAGGAAGUCUGUGGGGUGUGCAGGGAGGGUGACAGUGGGGACUCAUCCUCAUCAGAAGACAGAGACUUCCAGGGAGACAGCCCUUUCCUUGUUUCCCUUCUUCCUGCCUUGAAUGCAGAUGUGACAGUUGGCGGGUCAGCAGCCAUUCUGUAGUAAUGAGAUGAUAAGGAUGACAAAGAGAUUGCAGGAAAUCCAGCCCUGCCAUCAUCAAGGCAAGCGUUACUGCCUCCUGAUUUCUUGUUAUGGAAGAAAGAUUAACGCCUAUUUUUCUUCCCUAAACCACUAUAAAUUGGAUUUUUCUUUGACCUGACACCAAACACAUUCCUAUAGAAUUCACUGCCACACAGCUGAGUAAAUGUUUGCUUUUACCUGGCUUUUACAACUCUCUGAGCUUCCCCAUCUAGAAGAUGAAAGUAGGGUGGGUGAGGUGGUUCACGCCUGUAAUCCCAGCACUUUGGGAGGCUGAGGCAGGUGGAUCAUUUGAGACCAGGAGUUCGAGACCAGCCUGGCCAACAUGGUGAAACCCUGUCUCUACUAAAAAUACAAAAAUUAGCCAGGCAUGGUGGCACACGCUUGUAAUCCCAGCUACUCAGGAGGCCGAAGCAGGAGAAUCACUUGAACCCGGGAGGCAGAGGUUGCAGUGAGCCGAGAUUGCACCACUGCACUCCAGCCUGGGCAAGAGAGUGAGACUCUUGUCUCAAAAAAAAAAAAAAAAAAAGAAAGAAAGAAAAUGAAGGCAGAGACAUCUGUCCCCAUAGACCAUUGUGAGGAUUGAAGGAGCUAGGGGCUGUGAAAUUACUCUGUGGACGGUGAAGGCUUCAGCUGAGGAGGACUAAUGUGGCCUUUCUCCCGGAGACCAGGGCUUCCUUGAGUGAGGAUGAAAUAAACUGUAGCCAGAGAGAAGAAGCAACAGGCAUGUUUCGGAGCAGAGUCCCGGGCCCAGCUGUCGAGCAGGCCUCACUGCUCCCUCACCUGUUUCUGGGACAGGAGACAUGGUUUGAGGGCAGCAUGAUGGUUGGUUAAGUGCUCGAACUCUGGAGCCCAGCUGUCUCUGCUCCUCCUUAAGCAAGGCCACAGACUGCGUAUCCCCUCCUCGGACCCCCACAGCUGCCCACGUGCCCUCAUCCCCUCAUCAGAGCACUUGUCCCCACCCUAGGUUGUCAUUGCCUGUUUGCCUUGUGCUCCCUGAGACAGGGACUGAGGGUGUCCUCUUCACCCUCACACCUGGCACAGUGAACUUGACCUUGAAGCUGGCCAGACUGCGGCAGGGAAGUGAGUAUGGCCAGGGCAGGAGGCAGGACAGGCAGGACCAUGUCGUGGGAGAAGGGUGGGGCAGGCUGGGGACAUGAGGGUGCAGGGGUGAGGGGUCAGAUAGUGGCGACUUUGAGUGCGUGAGAGAGGAGGGGCUCGGUGCCCUGGGUUCUGGCAGGAUGGCAAGACCACCUCUCCUCUCCUGAGAAUCAGGCAGUGACUUGGAAGCUGGUUUGGGAGAUUGGAGGAGUGACAGCAGGACCAUGAUCCUGUGGGAUGGUACCUGCUAUGUACCAAGUCUUGUGUUCGUUCUGGGGAUGCAGCUGUGCCCCAGACAAGGAUACUGUCCAUAGAAACUCACAGCCUAGCGGCGGAAGAGGGCAACGGAGUGGAUGGAGGAAUAUACCCCUCACACUGAGGUUCAAAGCUGGUAGGUGCCGAAGGGCACUCACUGCAGACCUACUGUGCACCAGCACUACUGAGUCAGGAUCUCCGUUCUCUGGGAGCUCAGCUGCAGGGAACAACACUGUGUGUGCAUGUUUGCACCCCCUCUCUGUGGGUCUGUGGUGAGUGGCCAGUGUGUGUUCGUGUGUGUACAGCUGUCUGUGGGUGUGGCUGGGAGCUUUUGCACCUGUGAGUAUGUCUGUGUUUUGCUGGUAGUAUUUUGUGUGUGUGUGUGUGUGUGUGUGUGUGUGUGUGUGUGUAGGAAGGGAGCAGGCAUCUGCAGCAGAAGCUGAGGUCUCAGGUCUUGGGGGGCUUCUCCCACACACCUGCCCCUUGGCCAUGGGGUAGGGUGGGGUGCCCCAAACGCCCUGAUACUUUGUGGGAAGAAGGCUGGGCACAGCGGGAAUGUUUGGUUUCCUGGGUGAAGGCGGAGCUGGCCGUCUUCCCAUGACAGAUGUAGGAAUGUUUCUGCUAUUCAAGGCGGAAGCAGGGGUGUGGGGGCCGCCUGAGGCCUGCCCCAGCCCUGCUCCAGGCCACCUGUCUAUGGCCUGGGAAGCAGCUGGGCACUGCUAGGGAGAAGCUUCCAGACCCAGGGCUGACCCUACUCUCCAAGCCCCAUCUCCCCAGGAGGCUCAGGUCAGGCCCAAUUCACCUCCCUCCCAGCCCCCCAGGACAGGAGAGGAGAAUGGAGUCCAGGGUUCAGCCCAGAAGAGGACUCCCAUGAGGAGGGGGCUUUGAGGAAAUGGGGACAUUGGGCUUCUUUCCCUGGCAGCUGAGUGGGGGGCAGCAACAGGGGAACAGCGGGGAAGCAUCCUUAGAGGUCCCCCCAUCAGUAAGCCCAGCUGCAGACAGCCUCAGGGUACCCUCAUUUUCUUUUCUGAGUCCUGGUAUAAUAGAGCUUCAGAAGAGUCAGCAAUGGCAAAUUCCUCAAAUGGGGAAACUGAGGCAGGGGUGGGGUGCUGACUUGGCCAGGUCGCCCCACCCCCAGCAGUCCUGACCCCAGACCCCCAGCUCUCCCAGCGCACCUGCCGCUCACUCCAUGGAGGUUAUGGCCCGGGUGGGGUACAGGUAACAUGACCACCAAAAUCAGCGGUGACCUGGCCUCCACCCUCUGGAAGCUAGCUCUCCAGAACCCCCAGCCCCUCCCUGGGUUUCAAAUCCUGCCUUGCCCCUUCCAGGCUUCCAUCUGUGAAGCCAAGUGACUCUUCCCACUCUGUCUACACAGCCUUCCCAGGGGUUGCAUGUAAAGAACCAGGUGAAGGUUGGGCAUAGUGGCUCAUCCUUCAGUCCCAGCACUUUGGGAGGCCAAGGCUGGUGGAUUGCUUGAGGCCAGGAGUCUGAGACAAGCCUGGGCAACAUGGAGAAACCCCAUCUCUACAACCGAAAAAAAAAAAAAAAAAAAAAAAGAACGUGGUGGUACAUUCCUGUAAUUCUAGCUACUUGGGAGGCUGAGGCAGGAGGAUCACUUGAGCCCAGGUGAUUGAAGCUGAAAAAAAAAAAAAGCGUAGGUUGGGCGCAGUGGCUCAUGCCUGUAAUCCCAACACUUUGGGAGACUGAGGUGGGCAGAUCACCUGAGGUCGGGAGUUCGAGACCAGCCUGACCAACAGGGAGAAACCCCAUCUCUACUAAAAAUACAAAAUUAGCUAGGUGUGGUGGCGCAUGCCUGUAAUCCCAGCUACUCGGGAGGCUGAGGCAGGAGAAUUGCUUGAACCAGGGGCAGGGGGGCAGAGGUUGCGGUGAGCCAAGAUCGUGCCACUGCAUUCCAGCCUGGGCAACAGGAGCGAACCUCUGUCUGAAAAAAAAAAAAAAAAGCCUGGGUAUUUGAAGACUUUGUGUCUAGGCCAGGGAAGUGUUGGGGCCAGGUGGUUAUUGGUGAUUGCUGGCUGCAGUCUGAACAACCCACAUCCCCCACGAAGCCACUGGGAGGCUGUGGGUGGUGAGUGGGGGGUGUCCCGGGGUGUGGUGUCAUGGUAUUAUGUUUGUGAGGGCGUCACUUUCCCCCACUGCAUCUUAGUGGCUUCCUCCCCUCCAGCUGGAACCUGGGUCCAGCAGGCGGGGAAAGAGCCCACGGGGAGGGGAGCUUGUGAGAGAAGGAGGGCCUUGGUGACUUGGUGCUGAUGUGCCUUGUUUUCCGGGCUGGCACAGGCAGGACACCCUGGAUCCCCAGCCCUGACCCUGAUUGUCCCUCAGGCCCCAGCUGGACCCAAAGUCACUUUCUUAGGUUUGGCUUUGAGACAUCUCUUCUCCCUCUCCCUUUUACUGUCUCUCCCCUACCAUGAAGAUCAGAGAGGAGGGAGGUGCCUGUGAGUCACCUUCUGACUCACAGGAGGGCACAGCCAGGGUCUGGGGCGGGAGUGUGUGCAGUUGGCCAGUGUGCAUGUGCAUGUGUGUGCACAGUCAGCGUGUGUGUGCACGGUCAGCAUGUGUGCAUAGGCAAGUGUUCAUGCAUGUAUGCUUGUGUGCACCUGUGCAUGUUUUGUGAGGGGGCUGAGCUGGGGGAGGGGGAGAAGACAUGCCUUGGCUUUCUCACCUUUAAAAUGCAUGAGCUCUGGCCGGGCGCAGUGGCUCACGCCUGUAAUCCCAACGCUUUGGGAGGCCGAGGUGGGUGGAUGACCUGAGGUCAGGAGUUCCAGACCAGCCUGGCCAAAAUGGUGAAACCCCAUCUCUACUAAAAAUAGAAAAAAAUUAGCCGGGUGUGGUGGCAGGUGCCUGUAAUCCCAGCUACUCGGGAGGCUGAGGCAGGAGAAUCACUUGAACCCAGGAGGCGGCCGUGUCAGUGAGCCGAGAUCGUACCACUGCACUCCAGCCUGGGCGACAGUCUCAAAAAAUAAAAAUGAAAAAAUAAAUAAAAAUAAAAAUAAAUAAAAUAAAAUGCAUGAGCUCAUGGAAGCUGCCCCAACCCGAGGGGGCCACUAAGUCACAGCCAGGACAGGGUGCUUACCUGGAGCAGGUGCAUAAGGCUUGGUUAUAUUGAAAGCGUGAAGAAAUAUCAAAUAGGGGUAGCAAAGCCAUUCUGCAUUCUAAAUAGUUUACAUUGAUCAAACUAACACUUCUGACACAACUACCAUGCAACAGCCAUUUGUAGACCCGUGUUUGGGUCUACAAAAUCUUGAAAGUUGAAGUAGAUCUUUCCUGAAUAUGAGGCCCAAACUCACAGACCUCCUGGCCUCCGGAGGUUAAUAGGACCCUCGGUGUGCAACCGGGAGGCCACAGAGGCCGUGGAUGAGGGGAAGGCAGGGCGGGGCACUGGCUGCUCAAGCUGGGCUAGGAGCACUGUGGCAAGGACCUCUGUGUCUGUUGCGUUCGUCCCUCUUCCCUCGCCAUCUAGAACCGUGCCUGAUGCACAGUAGGCUCCCAACACAGAUGGCUGGAUCAAUGAUGACUGACUGCAUGUCCCAGGUAUGGAAGAUCUCAACUGGGCCAUGGCUGCGGGGAUGGUGGGAGGGUGCUGGACAGGGAAGCCUGGUUAUCAUUCCCUCCUGGUGCUGCUGAAGGCCCCCUUUCCUCCAACUUUGACCAAGUGAAGAUGGGUGGAGAGCUGACGCCUGGGUUCUAAUAGGACAGGUCACUUCCCUUCCCUAAGAAUCAGUCCCCUCCCUUGUCUGUAAAACAGGGAUGCACCAUGUUCCACCUUUGUGGUUUCUGGGCAGCAUCAGACCAUUCUCUGAGGUCUUCUCUAGCUCCAGGAUCCAGAGAAAUGGCUUGGGAUGGCUGGGCGCGGUGGCUCAUGGCUAUAAUCCUAGCGCUUUGGGAGGCCGAGGCGGGUGGAUCACUUCAGGUCAGGAGUUUGAGACCAACCUGACCAACAUGGUGAAACCCCACCUCUACUAAAAAUACAAAAAUUAGCUGGGCGUGAUGGCAGUUGCCUGUAAUCCCAGCUACUCGGGAGGCGGAGUUUGCAGUGAGUUGAGAUUGUGCCGUUGCACUCCAGCCUGGGCGACAGAGCGAGACUCCGUCUCAAAAAAAAAGAAAGAAAGAAAAGAAAAGAAAAGAAAAAAGAAAAGGCUUGGGAGAAGGGACUUCUGGAGUAACAGGGGACUUGGAGACAAAAGGAACAGAGGAACAGUUUGUGCCACGAAGACGAAGCAUUUCCCAGACGCAGGGGUUUUACAGUAAGAACCCACAGGGUGCGUCUGUGCAGUCCCACGUGGAUCAACACACGUGGCCCAUCCUGACAGUUUUCAAGCCAACCCUACAUUUUGGUCUGUGUAUUCAAUCAGCUAUACCUCCCCUCCACCAAGCUAGGCUGCCGGUCAGCCCCGAUUUUUUAUCUGAGCACAAGAAUGUCCAAGAGUGAUGUUCAAAUGCUGUAGCAACAUUUACAUCCAGGGUUCCUGGCUUUUCCCUGUGUUUCCCAGCCAGGUGGCCCUGUAGAGACCCAAACGUUCAGCCACCACAACUGCUUCUUAGAGAACCAUGUGGGCUCCUGGUGACUUAGGUACCCACCCUGGUCCUCUCCGACCAUCUGUGUCCUCCUCCACCCUGGAAGUCGGCCAGGGCUUGAUGUCAGGCUCACCAGUUUAUAUUUUCUGUUAUCAACAACAGUUCCUCCUUUUCAACCUUUCUUUCUUUCUUUCUCUCCUUCCUUCCUUCCUUCCUUCCUUCCUUCCUUCCUUCCUUCCUUCCUUCCUUCCUUCCUUCCUUCCCUCUCUCUCUUGCCCGCUCUCUCUCUUUCUCUCUUUCUUUCUCUCUUUCUUUCCUUGAGACAGAGUCUCAUUCUGUGGCCCAGGCUGGAAUGCAAUGGUGCAAUCUCGGCUCACUGCAACCUCCGCCUCCCAGGUUCAAGUGAUUCUCCUGCCUCAGCCUUCCUAGUAGCUGGGAUUACAGGCGCCUGCUACAACGCCUGGCUAAUUUUUGUAUUUUUAGUAGAGACGGGGUUUCACCAUGUUGGCCAGGGUGGUCUCAAACUCCUGACUACAGGUGAUCUGCCCGCCUCGGCCUCCCAAAGUGCUGGGAGUGAGCCACUGCGCCCGGCACCUUUUCAACAUUUCAAACAUUUGCCUGCCUUUAGCGUCUGGCUCCAGUUCCCAUUCUCUGAGUUUCCUCCAAGAUGAUGGCAGUGGUUCCUGGCUCCCUGGCUGCGUCUGGAUGCUCUCGGCAGCAACUCGGUCUGUGGAAGCUGGGCAUCCUCUGUAGCUUUCAGGGAGUGGAGGCUAAAGGGAGGGGAAGAAGAAGGUGAUUCUGACUGAACAUUGUUUAUUUUGAUUGCAGAUAUUUAUUAAAAUGGAAAGGCAUUGUUUAAUCUUCUGUGCCAAUGAGAAUCCUUCAAGCUGCCUACAACAAAGACCGCUGGGAAGCUGAGGCCAAGAACGUCUGAGCCUAGGAGUUCAAGGCUGCAGUGAGCUGUGAUUAGGCCACUGCACUCCACACUGGGUGACAGAGGGAGACCCUGUCUCAAAAAAAGAGAGACUCUUAGCCACAUUUCCACAUUCCAAUUUUUUUUGAGACAGAGUCUCACUCUGUGGCCCAGGCUGGAGUGCAGUAGCGUGACCUCGGCUCACUGCAAGCUCUGCCUCCCGGUUUCAAGCAGUCCUCCUGCCUCAGCCUCCCAAGUAGCUGGGAGUAGAGGCUAAUCUUUGUAUUUUUAGUAGAGACACGGUUUCACCAUGUUGGCCAUGGCUGGUCUCAAACUUCUGGCCUCAAGCAAUUUGCCCACCUCACCUCUCAAAGUGCUGGAAUUAUAGGUGUGAGCCACCGUGCCCAGGCUUUUAGAUUUCAAUUUAUUUAUUUAUUAAUUAUUAUUAUUAUUUUUGAGAUGGAGUCUCACUCUUGUUGUCCAGGCUGGAGUGCAGUGGCGUGAUCUUGGCUCACUGCAACCUCCAUCUCCCAGGUUCAAGUGAUUCUCCUGCCUCAGCCUCCCGAGUAGCUGGGAUUACAGGCACCCACCGCCACACUCGGCUAAGUUUUGUAUUUUUUAGUAGAGACGGAGUUUUGUCAUGUUGGCCAGGCUGGUCUCAAACUCCUGACCUCAGGUGAUCCACCUGCCUUGGCCUCUCAAAUUGCUGGAAUUACAGGUGUGAGCCACCGCACCUGGCCAGAUUUCAGUUUAAAUUGUACUGUGGAUAUAGAAUAUCAGAUCUUGUCAUCGAGAAACUUUUUUAAAUUAAACUUUUUAUUUUGAGAUAAUUGUGGAUUCACAUGCAGUUGUAAGAAAUAACACAGAGUGAUCUUGUGUAUCCUUUACCCAGUUUCCUGCAAUGGUAAAUAACAUCUUGCAAACCUAUAAUAAGAUGUCAUAACCAGAUUAACAUCGACUUGGAACGUUUCCGUCACCAUGAGGAUCCCUCCAGGCAUCCUUUUAUGGCCACGCCCACUUCCCUCCAAGCCCAGCUCCUCCUCAGCACCUGGCAACCCACGGCUCUGUUCUCCAUUUCUGUAAUUGUGUCAUUUCAAGAAUGUUAUAUAGGCCGGGCGCGGUGGCUCAAGCCUGUAAUCCCAGCACUUUGGGAGGCCGAGGCAGGUGGAUCAUCUGGGGUCAGGAGUUCCAGAACAGCAUGGCCAACAUGGUGAAACCCCGUUUCUACUAAAAAUACAAAUAUUAGCCGGACAUGGUGGUGGGCGCCUGUAAUCCCAGCUACUCAGGAAGCUGAGGCAGGAGAAUCCCUUGAACCCGGGAGGCGGAGGUUGCAGUGAGCCGAGAUCGCGCCACUGCACUCCAGCCUGAGUGACAGAGACAGACUUUGUCUCCAAAUAAAUACAUAGAAUGUUAUGUAAAUGGAAGCAUACAGUGUGUAAACUUUUGGGAUUGGCUUUUCUCACUCAGCGCAGUUCUCUGGAGGGUCAUCCGGGAGUCGUGUGUAUCAACAGUUCAUUCUUUUUUAUUGCUGAGUAGUUUUCCAUCGCCUGAAUGUUCUACAGUUUGUUUAACUCUUCAUUUGUUGAAGGACAUCUGGGUUGCUUCCAGUUUUGAGCUAUUAUGACUAAAGCUGCUAUAAACAUUCCCGUACAGGUUUUUGUGUGAACAUAAGUUUUCAUUUCCCUGGGAUAAAUGCCCAGGAGUGCAACUGCUGGGUUGUAUGCAUGGUUCUUGCACGUUUAAUUUUUAAAGAAAUUGGCAAACUGUGGCCGGGCAUGGUGGCUCAUGCCUGUAAUCCCAGCGCUUUGGGAGGCCAAGGCAGGUGGAUCACGAGGUCAGGAGAUCAAGACCAUCCUGGCUAACAUGGUGAAACCCCGUCUCUACUAAAAAUACAAAAAAUUAGCCAGGCAUGGUGGCGGGCGCCUGUGGUUCCAGCUACUCCGGAGGCUGAGGCAGGAGAAUGGCUUGGGCCCGGGAGGCGAAGCGUACAGUGAGCCAAGAACGCACCACUGCACUCCAGCCUGGGCCACAGAGUGAGACUCUGUCUCAAAAAAAAAAAAAAAAAGGAAAUUGGCAAACUGUUUUCCAGAGUGGCUGUACCAUUUUACACUCCCACUAGCAAUGUAUAAGUGAUCCAGUGUGCCAACAUUGGGUGGUGUCACGGUUUUUUAUUUCAGCCAUUCUGAUAGGUGUAUAAUGCUAUCUCAUUGUGGUUUUCAUUUGCGUUUCACUAAUGGUUAAUGACGUUGAACAUAUUUUCAUGUGCUUAUCUGUCAUUUGUAUACCCUCUUUGAUGAAAUGUAUCUUCGUGUCUUUUGCCCGUUUUCUAAUUGGAUUUUUUUCUUUUUUUUUUUUUACUGUUGAGGUUUGAGAGUUCUUUAUAUGUUCUAGGCUCUUUGUCAGACAGCGGUUUGCAAAUAUUGUCUCCCAGUCUGUAGUUUUGUCUUUUCAUCCUCUUAGCAGAGUCUUUCACAGAGAGAAAGUUUUAAAUUUUAAUGAAGUCCAUUGUAUCAGUCUUUCCUUUUAUGGAUCGUAAUUUUGGUGUCAAGUGUGAGAACUGUAUGCGUAGCCCUAGAUUUUAAAUAUUUUCUCCUGAAAGUUUUAUAUUUUUACAUUUUACAUUUAAGUUCAUGAUCCAUUUGAGUUUGUUUUGUGUAAAGUGUGAGACUUAGUUUGAGGUUCCUUUUUUUUUUCUUUUUGCCUAUGGUUGUCCAAUUGCUCCAACAAUCUUGGUUAAAACAUCUGUCUUUCAUCCACUGAAUUGAUUUAUACUAUUAUAAAAACAAAAAAUCAGCCAGGCAUAUCUUUGUGGAGUCUUUUCUGAGUCUUCUAUUCUGUUGCCCUGAUCUAUGUGUCUCUCCCUCUGCCAAUACCACAGUCAUGAUUAUUGUAAAUAUAUUACAUAAUAAGUCUUAUAUAUCUCAUAUAUAAUAAAUCAGGAAGACUGAUCUCUCCCACUUUGUUCUUCUUUUUAAAAUUUGUUCCAAUGAUUCUAGUUCCUUUGUUUUUCCAUGUAAGUCUUGAAAUAUGCUUGUCUAUAUCUACAAAAAAUCUUGCUGGAAUUUUUAUAGGAAGCACAUUAAAUCUGUAUGUCAAUUUGGGAAGAAUUAAAAUCUUUACUAUGUUUUGGAAAAUGUAUUAAUGUGAUGUGUCUCUCCAUUUAUUUAUUUUUCCUUUCUUUCAUCAGUAUUGUGUAGUUUUCAGCACACAAACCUUGUCUACAUUUUUUAUAAGAUUUAUACCUAAGCAGUUCUUUUUUUUUUUUUUCUGAGACAGAGUCUUGCUCUGUUGCCCAGGCUGGAGUGCAGUGGUGCGAUCUCGGCUCACUGCAAGCUCCGCCUCCUGGUUCACGCCAUUCUUCUGCCUCAGCCUCUUGAGUAGCUGGGACUACAGGCGUCCGCCACCACGCCUGGCUAAUUUUUUGUAUUUUUAGUAGGAGACGGGGUUUCACCGUGUUAGCCAGGGUGGUCGUGAUCUCCUGAACUCGUGAUCUGCCCACCUCGGCCUCCCAAAGUGCUGGGAUUACGGGUGUGAGCCACCGCGCCCAGCCAAUUCCUUGGGAUUUUCUAUGUAGACAAUCAUAUCAUCUAUAAAUAGGGACAGUUUCUCCCUUUUUGAUCUGUAUGUCUCUCAUUUCUUUUUCUUGCUUUAUUGCACAGGCUAGAACUUCUAGCAGUAUGUUGAAUAAGAGUGUGAGAAGCCCUAAGUCUUUCAUCAUUGAGUUUAAUGUUAGCCGUAGGUUUCUUAUAGAUACUCUUCAUCAAGUUAGGGAGGUUCACUUUCUAUUCCUAUUUUUUUCCCAAGAGUUUUUAUCAUGAGUGAAUGUUUGAUUUUGUGUAGAAUUGGUAUUAAUUCUUCAUUAAAUGUUUGGCAGUGUUCUGAGCCUGGAGACUUUUUUUUUUUUUUGAGAUGGAGUCUCACUCUGUCUCCCAGGCUGGAGUGCAGUGGCGCGAUCUUGGCUCACUGCAACAUCCACCUCCCAGGUUCAAGCGAUUCUCCUGCCUCAGCCUCCUGAGCAGCUAGGAUUAUAGGCACCUGCCAACACGCCUGGUUAAUGUUUUGUAUUUUCAGUAGAGAUGGGGUUUCACCAUGUUGGCCAGGCUGGUCUUGAACUCCUGACCUCAGGUGAUCCACCCACCUUGGCCUCCCAAAGUGCUGGGAUUACAGAUGUGAGCCACCACACCUGGCCACCUGAAGACUUCUUUUGGGGGAGUUUUAAAACUGCAAAGUAGCUGGACAUGGUGGCAUAGGCCUAUAGUCCCCACUACUUGAGAAGCUGAAGUGAGAGGAUGGCUUGAGGCCAAGAGUUCAAGACUGCAGUGUGCCAUGAUAGCACUUGUGAAUAGCCACUGUACUCCAGCUUGGGCAACAUAAUGAGGACCCUGUCUUUAAAAAAUAAUGUAAUAUAAAAUAAAAUAUUACAAAGUCAUUUUCCUUAAUAGUAUCAGGCUAUUUAAAUUAUCUGUUUCAUAUCGGGUAAGUUGUAACUGUAUUUUUCUAAAAAGUGAUACUUUUCAUCUAAGUUGUCAAAUUUAUGUAUAUAAUGUUGUUCAUCGUAUUUUCCUGUUAUACUUUUGUUAAGGGUCUACAGGGGUAUUCCACGUUUCAUUCCUAAUAUCGGUAAUCUGUGUCUUCUUUCCCUUUCUCUUUGUCAGUGUUGCUAGAGGCUUGUCAAUCUUAUUAAUCUUUUCAACGAACAAACCUUUUGUUUCACUUAUUUUCUCUAUUGUUUUUCUGCUUUCAAUUUCUGUUCUUAUCGCUAUUAGUUCCUUGUUUUGAGUUUAUUUUGUUCUUCUUCUAGGACUUUUUUUUUUUUUUUUGAGACAGAGUCUCCCUCUGUUGCCCAGGCUGGGGUGCAAUGGCACGAUCUUGGCUUACUGCAACCUUAUUGGUUAUUGGUAGUUAAGGCCGGGUGCAGCGUUGCAUGCCUGUAAUCCCAGCACUUUGGGAGGCCGAGGCAGGCAGAUCACCUGAGGUCAGGAGUUUAAGACCAGCCUGACCAACAUGGGGAAACCCCAUCUCUACUAAAAAUACAAAAAUUAGCUGGACGUGGUGGCAGGCGCCUGUAAUCCUAACUCCUUAGGAGGCUGAGGCAGGAGAAUCCCUUGUCUGGGAGGUGGGGCUUGCAAUGAACUGUGGUCACACCAUUGCACUCCAGCCUGGAGGAGAGAGAGAGACUCUGUCUCCAAAAAACAAAACAUAACAUAAAUAAAGUUAAUUUCUUACAAGCAGCAUCUAAUUGGGUCAUGUUUUAAAAUCUGCUCUGUUAAUUUCUGUCUUUAAUUAGCAUAUUAAGACCAUUAAGACUUAAUAUAAUUCGGAUAUGUUAGGGCUGAAUUCUUUUUUGUUGGCUUGUUCUCUCUUUUUCUCUUCUAUCUGUUUCCAUUGUCUGGCCUUCCUGUGGAGUACUUUAACAUUCUUUAGAAUUUUAUUUUGGUUUAUCAAUGGUGUUUUUAAGUGUAUAUUUUAAUGUAGCUUUUUAAUAGUUUCUCUAGUUAUUACAUUAUAUAUACGUAACUUAUCACAAUAUACUGAUGUUGUCAUUUUACCAGUUUCAGUGAGGUGUAUAAACCUUACCUCCCUUUAAGUUCUUUUAUCUCUUCCAUUUAUAAUUGUCUUAAAUGUUUCCUCCACAUACAUUGACAGCCAUAUCAGAAGGUGUUAUCAUCUUUGCUUCAACUAUCAAACAUGAGGGGAGAAGUCUCAUGGUUACCCAAACCUUUUCAUGCUAUGUUCUUCCUUCUUCCUUCCUUUCUGUUUCCAGAUUGAUGUCUUCUUUUAUCACUCUAUUUCUGUUUUGAGAACUUCCUUUAGUUUUUUAGAGUGUGUUUGCUGAUGAUAAAUUCUCUUAGAUUUUUUUUUUAAUCCAAGAAUACUUUGAUUUGCCUUUUAUUCUUGAAGGAUACAUUUUCUCUGGACAUAGGAUUCUGCAUUGACAGUUUUUUCCCCCAGCACUUUAAAAAUGCCAUACCACUUCCCUCUGAACACCAUAGUUUCAGACGAGCAAUCCAUCGUUUUUCUUUAUUUUUUUUACCCUAUAGGUAAAAUGUUUCUCUCUUGCUGCCUUCCAGAUUUUUUUGUUUUGUUUUGUUUUGUUUUUAGUUUCCAGGAAAAUUUGACUAUCAUGUUUCUUGGUGUGGAUUUCUUUGGGUUUAUCCUGUGUGGUAUUUGCUUAGUCUGUUUUUGUUUUGUUUUGUUUUGUUUUUUUUUGACAGGAUUUCACUCUAGGAUUUCACCUAGGCUGGAGUGUGGUGGCGCAAUCAUGGCUCACUGCACCCUUCAGGAGGUGGAGAACUCCUGGGCUCAAGUGAUCCACUUACCUCAGCCUCCUGAGUAGCUGGGACUGUAGGUGCACAUCACCAUGCCUGAAUAAUUUUUUUGUAUUUUUAGUAGAGAUGGGGUUUCACCAUGUUGACCAGGCUGGUCUUGAACUCCUAGGCUCAAGAAAUCUGCCCAUCUUGGCCUCCCAAAGUGCUGGGAUUACAGGCAUGAGCCACUGUGCCCUCUUGAUUAGCCCUCUUGAUUCAGUCAGCUUAUGUCUUUUGCCAAAUUUGAGACAGAUUUUCAGCCCUUAUUUCUUCUUUCUUUCUUUCUUUCUUUCUUUCUUUCUUUCUUUCUUUCUUUCUUUCUUUGAGACAGAGUCUUGCUCUGUUACCAGGCUGGAGUUCAGUGGUGUGAUCUUGGCUCACUGCAACCUCUGCCUCCAGGGUUCAAGCAAUUCUCCUGCCUCAGCCUCCCAAGUAGCUGGGAUUACAGGUGUGCCACCAUGCCAAGCUAAUUUUUGUAUUUUUAAUAGAGACGGGGUUUCACUAUGUUGGCCAGGAUGGUCUCAAUCUCUUGACCUCAUGAUCCACCCACCUCAGCCUCCCAAAGUGCUGGGAUUACAGGUGUGAGCCACCAUGCCCAGCCCCUUAUUUCUUUGAGUACUUUUUCAUCCCCGCCCUCCUUUUGUGACUUCAGUGACAUGACGUUAGAUUUUUUCAUUAUAGUCAAACAGCUCCUGGAAGCUCUAUUUGGUUUUUUUUAGGUCUGUUUUAUCUCUGUUAUCCAGGUUAAAUGAUUUCUCCUGCUCCACAUUCCAGUUCACGAAUUCCUUCCUCUGUGCUCUCCAUUCUGUGUUUGAGGCAUCUCUUUAUAUUUUCUGCUUCUUUGCUGAGGAUUUCAAUUUUUUCACUGGUUUCAAGUGUGUUUGUAACGUUUCUGCCAGCCUGGGCAACAUGGCAAGACACCGUCUCAACAAAAAACACAAAAAUUAGCUGAGCAUGGUGGCAUGUGCCUGUAGUCUCAGCUGCUCAGAAGAUUGAGGUGAGAAAAUCACUGGAGAAUCACUUGAGCUGGGAGGUUGAGGCUGCAGUGAGCCAAAAUCGUAUCACUGCGCUAAAGCCUGGGUGACAGAGUAUGACCCUAUCUCUAAACAAAGACAAAACCACCACCACUGCCGCCAACAAAAAAAAUUUCUAUUACCUUGGUGUUGGCAUCUAUUGAUUACCUUUUCAUUUGGUUUGAGACCUUCCUGGUUCUUGCCAUGAGUGAUUUUUCAGAGUUUUUUGUUUUUGUUUUUGUUUGUUGUUGUUUUUUGUCUUUAAGACAGGGUCUCACUUAGGCUGGAAUGCAGUGGCAUGAUCACAGCUCGCUGCAGCCUCAAAUUCCCAGGCUCCAGCAAUCCUCUUGCCCCAGCCUCCUGAGUAGCUGAGACCACAGACGUCUAUCACCACACCUGGCUAAUUUUUGUAUUUUUUGUAGAGAUAGGUUCUUACCACGUUGUCCAGGCUGGUCUCAAACUCCUAAGCUCAAGUAAUCCACCCAUCUCGGCCUCCCAAAAGUGCUGGGAUUGCAGGCGUGAGCCGCCGCACAGGGCCCCAUGAGUGAUUUUCUAUUGAAAACUGGACAUUGUGGGUAUUCUGUUAUGAGAUCUCUGUAUCUUAUGAAACCUUUUGCUUUAGCUAGUUGCCUCUGACGCUGCAUUAGCAGGGGAAGCAAGGAUGCUGCCUCAUUACUGCCAGGUGGGGUUCGAAGUCCAAGUUCUCGGGCCAGGCUCGGUGGCUCACACCUGUAAUCCUAACACUCUGGGAGGCCGAGGCGGGUGGAUCACGAGGUCAGGAGUUCAAGACCAGCCAGGCCAACAUGGUGAAACCCAGUCUCGACUAAAAAUACAAAAAUUAGCCGGGUGUGGGGGUGCUCGCCUGUAGUCCCAGCUACUCGGGAGGCUGAGGCAGAAGAAUCACUUGAACCUGGGAGGUGGAGGUUGCAGUGAGCUGAGACAGCGCCAUGCACUCCAGCAUGGGUGGCAGAGCGAGACUCUGUCUCAAAAAAAAAAAAAAAAGAAAAAGAAAAAAGAAAAGAAAAGAAAUAAAUCCAAGUUCUCCACUUGGCCUUUGUUGGCGGAUGAGCUGGUGGAGUGCUUUGUUACCGCUCAGGUAGGGAUGAAAGUCCCAGCUCUGUACUUGGCCUUCUCUGAUGGUGCCCUGGCAGGGAGGUUGGAGAACCUUGUUAUAACCUGUUGAGGGCGGAUGUCUACGCUCUCCACUCGGCCAUUGCUGGCAUGGGCACGGACACACAUUUUUCUGAGGUGCUUGGCUACAGUAGAGUAAUUAUUGUCUGAAAAUUUUCUGUCUUGCCAGGCUGCCUCUUUUCUAGUUCUUUGGGAAGAAGGCAGGGCUUUGUGGAGUUUUUAAAAAAUAUCUAUGCCCCUUGGUGUUUCUGGCUGCUGGCGUCUUCAGCUCCAAGUCGAGGACACAGGAGGCAAAUUCAAACAAACGAACAAAAUUCCAGCAAACUCACCCCAUGGUGUUCCUGGGGUCCCGGGGGCCUAGCAGAUCUGCCUUCUCCUCCCCUCCUUUCAGAUCUCCUCCUGCUUGUCUUAUAUAUCAUGCCUAGAGUUUUACAGUAUACUUGGUGGGAGGCAGUGUCUAUUACAUCCCAGUAGCAGUCAACUUUUGAAAUUUAAAUUUAAGUUUACAUUUUUAUCUCUUGUGGGGAUUGUUGAGAUAAUUUUAUUCCUUGGUUCGUAGUACACUUUCAUUGUUCAUGCAAAGCCCUCCUUUAUUUUAUAUAAACUAUACAUGUGAUCUGGGUGCAGUAGCUCAUGCCUGUAAUCCCAGCACUUUGGGAGGCUGAGGUGGGAGGAUCACUUGAGCCUGGGAGGGGGAAGUUUGCAUUGAUCCGAGAUCGUGCCCCUGUACUCCAGCCAAGACCCUGUCUCAAAGUAAAAUAAAACAAAACCAAAUAUAUAUAUAUAUGUGUGUGUGUGUGUGUGUGUGUGUGUGUGUGUAUGUAUGAGUACAAAAAAAAAAUCUCUUUUUCAUUCCUGGGCCAAACUUCCAUUCCUCUCCCACCCCCACACAAAGGCUUCCGCUCUAAUGUACUCAGUAUGUGCCCUUAAAUCCGUGUGUAUCCUCAAUAACUGUAUAGCUUUUUGUCGUUGUGUGUGUGCCUUUUAAAUUUACACAAAUUCUAUCAUGUCAGGAAUCCCAUUUUAUUUAUCUCCCUUUUUACUCAAAGCUAAUCAAAGCUAAGUUUUUUUUUGUUUUUUGUUUUUGUUUUUUUUUGAGAUGGAGUCUCACUCUGUUACCCAGGCUGGAGUGCAGUGGCGCGAUCUCAGCUCACUGCAAGCUCCGCCUCCCAAGUUCAAGCGAUUCUUCUGCCUCAGCCUUCCCGGUAGCUGGGAUUACAGGCAUGUGCCACCACGCCUGGCUAAUUUUUGUAUUUUUAGUGGAGACAGGGUUUCGCCAUGUUGGCCAGGCUGGUCUCGAACUCCUGACCUCAGGUGAUCCGCCCCUACUGGCCUUCCAAAGUGUUGGGAUUACAGGCGUGAGCCACUGCGCCCGACCUCAGAAAAGUCUUUUUGGUUUGACCUAUGCUGCCCUGCAGAUGUCAGGGCCUCCUCUGACUACAUGUGUAUCCACCGCUUUUUACUUAUCCUAGAGGGGGACCCCUGGGUUGCCUCCAACCCUCAGCUGCGUUGCCUCCAACCCUCAGCUGCUGCGGGAACCUCUCAGGUAUGCUCCCCUGUAGACUUGGGUGCACCGUGCUUUGGGGUUGACACCGUGGAGUGGGGCUGCUGUGGCAUGGACACCCGCUUUCGUAAUUGCUCCAAGCUCUGGCAAAUCGCUUUCUGAGAAGGCAGCACCACUUUACCCUCCAGCCAGCAACGUCUGGGAAAUCUUCCUAGGAAGACGAAUUAAAAUAACUUUGGGAAUUUUUUUGGUAAAGCAGUAAUUCCUUUGGCAAAGUGAGCAACUGCCCCCUAAAUCAUGUUUGGGCUUGUGAAUAACAAGGCAGUAUAAUCAAAGAUGGCCCUGGAUUUCUCCUGGUGAUGAGGAGGGUGUCCUGGCAGGUCCCAUGGCAGGUGAGUGAGGUACGGGAUUAGGGAAACAUCCAGAAGCGGAGAGAGACUCAAACCUCAGAGAGCUCAGGAGAGCAAUAGCCUGCUGGGGAUCUGGCAUGAGUGGAAGGCAAAGGAGACAGCUUCUAGUUUAGAGCCCAGUACAUAGUAGAUGCUCAAUUAAUAUUUGUCAACAAAAUGAAUGAAGGAAGGAAAGAAUCAUUGGCCUGGGGCUCUGGGCACUUGCUGGAGGUGUGUGCUGCUGGGAAUUCCAAUCUCUGUCUCCCACAUUGGCUCAGCCAGUUGGAGGCACACACCUGUGAAGGCAACCAGUGUCCAGGGGCCCUCAAACCACUCUGUCUGUGGUCGCUCUGCCCUUCUUUUCCUAUCAUUCAUUCAUUCAUUCAUAAAAUGCUGCCAGAUGCCUAACUGGGCCAGGCCCUGCGCUAAGCUCCUGGGGCUUGAGAAAGGAAUGACCCAGUCUGUGACCCCAGGAAAUUCACAGUUUAGUGUUCUCAAUUCAGCGUGGAUCCCUCAGCCUCGGGAGUUCCUCCCACUCUUGGCCUUGCUCCUCUUUGAUCCCUGGGUCUCUGCACUGGGGGCCUGCCCUGAUCUUCCAGCAUAAACCAAAACCUUCCACCUCCCCGUGCCCUGCCUUCUCCUCCAACGGAUUGCCUGGACUUUGCUUUUGGAGGCUUUAUCACAGUUUGUUAGUAUCUAUUUAUUUUUGUGAUAUUUUAAAUUGUUUAAAUUUAAUUUGUCAACUUAUGACUGUUUAUUCACAACUGCAUGUGUCUGGCAUAUAACCAGUGCUCACUGAAUACUGGUGGAGUGACUGUCAGAUGAAUAAGGGCUGCAAUGGAGGUGCAUAUGGCUUCCCAAGAAGAGAGUGACCACACUUCUAUCUGGGGCCAGAAGGGAGGGCUUCGUGGUGGCAGCGACCCCAGAGCAUAUUGCCAACUAGAUAAGGAGGUUCCAGGCAGAAGAAAUUGCACGGCAUGUCCAGGGAACUGGGAGUAAUGCUGGAAGGUGUAUGGAUAUGACGACGUUGAAGAUAAGCCGGUGAGAACUUACACUUGGCCAAGUAGGCUGGUUUUUUUUUUUUUUUUAACUUUUUAUUAAAGAGUAACAUAUGCGGCCGAGCACGGUGGCUCACACCUGUAAUCCCAGCACUUUGGGAGGCUGAGGCGGACUGAUCACCUGAGGUGAGGAGUUCAAGACCAGCCUGACCAACAUGGUGAAACCCCGUCUCUAAUAAAAAUACAAAAUUAGCCGGGUGUGGUGGUGUAUGCCUGUAAUCCCAGCUACUGGGGAGGCUGAGGCAGGGGAAUUGCUUGAACCUGGGAGGCAGAGGUUGCAGUGAGCCCAGAUGAUGCCACGGCACUCUAGCCUGGGUGACAGAGCGAGACUCCAUCUCAAAAAAAAAAAAAAAGAUAACAUAUGCAAAGAAAAGUAGUCAUAUCGUGUCUCCAGCUUGAUGAAUUUUCACCAGUUAAACUCAGCUGGGUAACCACUGCCCAGGUCAAGAGGUAGGAUGGUACCAGUCUGUAAGAAAUCCUCCCGUGCCUCCUCAGGUGUAAUUCCUCCUUUCCCCCCAAGAAUAAGCACUAUCCUGACUUUGUCUGUUUUUGAAGUUCAUAUAAAUGGAAUCACACAAUGUGUGCAAUUUUCUUUGUUAGUCUGUUGCGUGACUGUAAAGAAAUACCCAGGCCGGGCGCCAUGACUCACGCCUGUAAUCCCAGCACUUUGGGAGGCCAAGGCAGGAGGAUUGCUUGAACCCAGGAGCUGGAGACCAGCCUGGGCAACAAAGUGAGACCUGUCUCUACAAAAAAUACUAAAAUUAGCCGGGUGUGGUGGUGUGUGCCUAUAGUCUCAGCUACUCAGGAGGCUGAGGCAGGAGGACCCCUUGAGCCCAGGAGGUCAAGGCUGCAGAGAGCUGUGUUGGUGCUAUUGCACUCCAGACCAGGUGACAGAGUGAGACUCUGAAAAAAAAAAAAAAGAAAGAAACAAAGAAAGCAAGAGAAAGAAAGAAAGAAAGAAAAAAGAAAAGAAAUACCUGAGGUUAGAUAAUUUAUAAAGAGGUUUCAUUGGCUCAGAGUUCUGCAGGCUAUACCAGCAUGGUGCCGGCAUCUGCUCGGCUUCUUUUGUUAUUUUUACUUUUUAAGACAAGGUCUCGCUCUGUUGCCCAGGCUGGAGUGCAGUGGUAUCUCAUUGUGGCUUUAUUUUACCUUCUUCUGAUGAAUAAUAACACUUUUACAUAUUUAUAAACUUUUUUUUUUUUUUAGAUGAAGUCUCACUCUGUUGCCCAGGCUGGAGUGCAGCAGCGUGAUCUCGGCUCACAGCAACCUCUGCCUCCUGGGUUCAAGCAAUUCUCCCUGCCUCAGUCUCCUGAGUUGCUAGGAUUACAGGCGUGCACCACCAUGCCUGGCUAAUUUUUGUAUUUUUAGUAGAGAUGGGGUUUUGCUGUGUUGGCCAGGCUGGUCUCAAACUCCUCAACUCAAGUGAUCUGCCCACCUCAGCCUCCCAAAGUGCUGGGAUUAUAGGUGUGAGCCACCACGCCCAGCCUGGAGAACCUCUUUUGUGAAGGGCCUGCUCAAAGUCUCCUGCCUGCUUUCUACUGGUUGCCUCUGUUUUUCUCAUUGAUUUGUAGAAGUUCUUUACAUAUUUGGGAUCUGAAUGCUUUGUCAGGUACUCGUUUUGCAAAUAUUCACAGAAGGAUUCUAAACUAGGAACUGAUGAGGUUGAACUGCAUAUCUGAAAGCUCCCUCUGGCUGCGGUGUGCAGCACAGACUGACUGUGAGACCAGGAAGGGGUGGUGGGGCGACCAGGGCAGCAGCUAUGGGGGUGGACAGAAGGGACCAGCGGCAGAGCUGACAAGAAACAUCUGCCACAUCGUGUCAUGACAAGAAACAAGAGGUACAUGGUGACAAGGGACGGGGGCAGCAAGGCUGACUUCCAGGCCUCUCUGGCUGGCUGCUGAGCUGACGCACGCUCUGCCACCCGGCCGCUGGCAGCCAAAGGCCGCUUUGUCUAUGCAGGCCCCACCCAGGCCUGCUGGUAGAGAUGCUCUCGGGUCACCGUCAGGACACUGGAGAGAGUGCCUAGUGUUGAAUCUAAGUCUCCCGUGGCAACUGGGGGACAAAUAGCCUCCCCCAUGGCAGGCGGGUCCCCAGAAGACCCUGUCCCCCAGAUGGGUUGGCAUCUGUGGGAUCUGGACACAGUCAGGCUGGACAAUGACCUCCUGUCUACAGCCUCCUUGCCCCUGCUGAGCCCAGGCUCAGGGGAUGAGAGUUCUGUUCCAGUGCCUGGGGAAAGUGUGGGAGCAGGUUCUGGAGUGCCUGGGUCCCUGCUGAGUGGCAAGAACAGCACUGAAGUUCCUGCGCCCCUGGUUUAUUUCUUGGGAAACACCCUCCACCCCUACUCUGGUUUUCAGCAUUUAUUUGAAAGGGUCCACCAAACCUCUACUCCCACAGCAUUGGGUUCACACGUGUACUGUAGUGUUCCUGCCGUGGUGUGUUAACUAAGCCUCAAACACCUUCCUUCCUUGGUAUGAGAAAUGUCGUAUUUUCCCUGUGCCCGGUGUGCUAGCUGUUUUCCAAGUGUGAUGUCAGUCGCUUCCUGCAUUCGUUCCUUAGCAUUCCUGCUAAAGGAAGCAUCGGUUUCUUCAUUUCGCAAAUGAGGAUGCUGACUUGCCCAAGUUCACCCAGCCAGAGUGGGGGAGGCAGGACUUGAACUUGAGCCAGUUGGACCCGGCAGCCCCUUUCCUGUCUGCUCCCCUGCCUCUCCAAUAGUGGGGGCCGUGAGGGACUGGAAUGGCCUCCCCAGUGGUGGUGACAGGAGCUUCACCGUCACCAUCACCUGGCUGCAGGAGUGGGCACAGGUAUGGCUCAGUUCCGCUGCCGUGGAGUGGGGGUCCUGGGAGAGCUCAGGCUGAUACCCUGGCUUUGCCCCACCUCACGGUGACCUUGGGUGAGUCACUUGUCUCAGGGCCUCAGCCUCCCUGUCAUAGCAAGGGAGCCAUCCCUACGGAGCCGUGCUCCGGUGGGUAGUGGGGGAGGAAGCGCGCGGACGGACGUGGAACACAGCCAGACUCAAACGGAAGAGUCAUCUGCUUUUGUUAUGUGCUACCUGUUUGGAUUCCUCCUGGCGCCUAGGUUGACCCUUUCUGUUCCCUUUUUUGGUGUUAAGGAAGCGUCGGAUCACUUCCCCGUCCCAGUCUUCUCCAGCCUGCACUUUUCCCAGCUUAAUCAGUCUCCAGCUGCCCAAGCGUCCCAAGCAGGCCCUGGGUUCCCGCCAACAGCGGCUGCCUGCAUCCCGGGGCUCCAGGCCGGGCCAGAUGGGCAGCUGGUACUGGUGGCAGGAAAUAGCUCUGAUGGGGAGACUGCCCCCUUUCUGGUGCUCAACCACUUCGUCUCUGACAGAGCAUAGAGUCUCCAGAAGGUUCUACUGGGUGGAGCCAGGGACAUGCUUUGGGUCUUCGUCCAUCCCUUCCUCUCUCCCAACAGGACCCAGUGUCUCCCAGCCCAGGGUGGGGUAGAUUCUGCCCCGCCCCAGGUGGGCUCUCAUUGGCCUAAGACAAUUACUAUAUCCCAUCUGGUGGCCAUUGUGAUUGGUUCAGGGAUGGCUACAAGGCUGAAGUCAGGCCAAUCAGAGCAAAGAUAUCUGAGCUCCCCGGGAAGAAGACUGUUUCUCUCUCCCCACUGAACAUGGAGAGAAGGACAAUAUCUACACCCGGAUUGGAUCCUGGGCAACAUGGCGAAAUCCCAUCUCUACAGAAAAAUUAGCCAGGCGCUGUAGCCUGAGCCUAUAGUCCCAGCUACUCUGGAGGCUGAGGCAGGAGAAUCGCUUGACCCUGGGAGGCAGAGGUUGCAGUGGGCUGAGAUCAUGCCACUGUACUCCAGCCCGGGUGACAGGGAGACCCUGUCUCUAAAAAAAAUAAUAAUAAUAAUAACAAAAAAGAGUCUGGGUGCGGUGGCUCACGCCUGUAAUCCCAGCACUUUGGGAGGCCGAGGUGGGCGGAUCACAAGGCCAAGAGAUCGAGACUAUCCUGGCCAAUAUGGUGAAACCCCGUCUCUACUAAAACUACAAAAAUUAGCUGGGCAUGGUGGCACGCGCCCAUAGUCCCAACUACUUGGGAGACUGAGGCAGGAGAAUCGCUUGAACCUAGGAGGUGGAGGUUGCAGUGAGCCGAGAUGUCGCCACUGCACUCCAGCCUGGCAACAGAGUGAGACUCCAUCCCCAUCCCCCCACCAAAAAAAGAUCUAGACCGAUUGGGAGCCGCCUGAGACCCCCAUGGGAGAGCCAGCCCAAGAGAGGAGCCAAGAGAGGGAGGCAGAGAAAUGGGUCCUGUCACUGUGUUUCAUGGCUGGAUCAAGUUUUGCUCGAACCCUCAAAUAACCCCAUGCUUUUUGGUUGCUCAGUAGCUCGGAUCCUCAGUAGCUCACACAUUCCAGUUGUUUGUGUUUUUGUUUUGUUUUGUUUUUUUGAGACGGGGUUUCGCUCUUCUUGCCCAGGCUGGAGUGCAAUGGCGCGAUCUCGGCUCAUGGCAACCUCUGCCUUCCGGGUUCAAGUGAUUCUCCUGCCUCAGCCUCCCAAGUAGCUGGGAUUACAGGCAUGAGCCACCAUGCCCAGCUAAUUUUGUAUUUUUGGUAGAGAUGGGGUUUCACCAUGUUGGUCAGGUUGGUCUCAAACUCCCGACCUCAGGCGAUCUACCCACCUCAGCCUCCCAAAGUGCUGGGAUUACAAGCGUGAGCUACCACGCCCAGCCACAUUCCAGUUGUUAAAGCCACCAUGAGUUGGGUUUUCUCUUCCUUUGAACCUAAGAAUCCUGAGCAGGGCCUAUUGUAUAGUGAGGGCCAGGCCUCUUCCUGCAUCUCCAGCAACCAGGACGGAGCCCAGGGCUCAGCCUAGCAUCUGUCCUGACCACAAGCAAUGUGUAUGUGGAAAUACGACCACAAGUGUCUCUUUCCUGUCUGUAGCCUCAGAGCCAGAAGCCCACUUAGAGACCUGAAGUCCAAUGCGCCCAUUUUUCAGGUGGGAACACUGAGGGUCACCACUCUCCACCCCUCUCCUAGUUGGCUGAAUGUCUAAGGAACAGGCAGAUAGAGAAGGGGCUGAAGGUCCAGCUACGCCCAGAGUCCCCAGUCCUCUGACCUGUGGCCAGGCUUUCUGGGGAGACCUCUCUCCUCCUCAUACCCCAGUUCAUCCAAGGAUGCAGGCUGCAUUCUGUAUUGCUAAGUCCAGAGUGAGCCCAGCCUAUGCAUGGAAUGUAACAUCUCUCACUGAAGGACCCUCAGUAGCUCCCGGUUACCUACAGAGUCCAGUUCACACAACUUUGCCUGACACCUUAGGCCCAAUCCCCUCUACCUUUCCUCCUCCAUUGUCUCUCUCCUCCCUUGCAACAAGGAGGGGAAACCUGCAGCGACUGUGCAGCCUCUUGUCCCUGCAGAAAUGCCUUAGAUAUCAUUUGGCUAAAAAGGAGUGUCACUUUAAAUUCACAACCACAAAUCUCAGUUUAGUCCUUGGCAUUUAUUCCAGUUAGCUAUUUCUGCAUAAUAAAUUAAAGGCUUAAGACAACAAUACUUUUUAUUAUCUUUCAUGGAUUCUGUGGGUCAUGAACUUGGGAGAGGCUCAGUUGGGUUGUUCAGGGUCUCACAGGGUGACAGACAGGUGGUGGCUGGAGUAACUCUCUCUUCAGGUGCUCUGAGAGCCUUUCCAUGUGCAGGGGCUGGUUGGGCUUCCUCACAGCAUGGCAGCUCAAGGCGCCAGCCUGAGCACUCCAUAUGGCAGAAGCUUUGAUAACCUAGCCUCAAAAGUGAUGCAUUGUCACUUCCGCUGCAGUCCAUUGGUAGCACAGUGAGUCACAAGCCUGCUUAGGUUCUAGGGGAGGCGAAAUUAGACUCUACCUCUUGGUAGAGGAGCGAAAGGUUCUAGAAUAACUUGUAGGGUGGGAGAUGUUGUUGCAGCCAUCUUGGAAAAUGCAAUCUGCCAGAGUGUUGCUGGGCAAUGCCGCUGCAUUUCCUGGGUCUACAUGCUCCGCUCCAAGAAGGCUCUUCCACACCUUCUCCUUACCCCUCAGACCUCCAGGGCAUUGCUGCCUUUUCACUGAGAAAGCAGAAGGGGUCCUGGGGAACCUCCCUGUGCUCACUGUGCACCCCUGCGCCCACUGACGCUGCCUCCUGCUGCCACUAUGAUGGAGGGCCUGUGUGUCAAGGUGGGUGGACCUAUCCCUCCCGCCAUGCACACCCCUCUCCUCCUCCCGCAGUGUCCGCUCUUCAGGAUCAUUCCCCAGAGGAGAAUGCUCAUUCUUCUUUCUUCUUAAAAAGAACAGCAACCACUGGCUGGGCACAGUGGCUCCAGCCUGUAAUCCCAGCACUUUGGGAGGUGGGUGGAUCUCCUGAAGUUUCAGGAGUUAGAGACCAGCCUGGCCAACACGGCAAACCCUCGUCUCUACCAAAAAUACAAAAAAUUAGCCAGGCAUCAUGGCUGGCCCUUGUAAUCCCAGUUGCACAGGAGGCUGAGGCAGGAGAAUUGCUUGAACCUGGGAAGUGAAGGUUGCAGUGAGCCGAGAUUACGCCACUGCACUCCAGCCUAGGCGACAGAGUGAGACUCUGUUUCAAAACAAACAAACAAACAAACAAACAAACAACAAAACCCAGCAACCACUAAAAACUGAACCGAAGCAAAAAGAAAACCCUCUCCCUUCACCUCUCCCCUCAAGCUGUCUGCUCCCAGCUCAGCCCUAACAUGUGCAGGGCUCGGGCCCAGAGCACAGAUGGAGACCUGCGCGCUCUGAGGCUAAAUAUCAAGAUGUUAUAAAUACGUGAACAAACUGUUAAAUCAAGUAUGCUUUCUUCCUACUCGCUAAGUAGAUCUUCUCAAUGAGGGCUGGAUUUAGAAUUCUCUGGCUCCUGGGACCUGGCUUUUUGGGGAGAGCCAGCCUUGGCCUCGCUCCACAGCACCCCCCUUCUUUUCUGGCCCCCAGCUCUCAUCCACACCUUGAAUGGCCUGGAGCACUGGUGCGUGAGCACCCAGACCAAGCUCUGCCCAUCAGCCUUACCCCCGCAGCAAACAGCCACCUCUUGGUCACCCUUGAGAGGGGCAGCCAUCAGGGACAAGGGUGGGGCCCUCGAGUCUCUGAGGGGAGAGUUCUUUCUCCUUGCCAUUUUUUUUUUUUUUUUUAAGAUGGAUUUUCACUCUUGUCUCCCAGGCUGGAGUGCAAUGGUGCAAUCUCAGCUCACGGCAACCUCCGUCUCCUGGGUUCAAGUGAUUCUCCUGCCUCAGCCUCCCCAGUAGCUGGGAUUAUAGGCAUGCGCCACCAUACUCGGAUAAGUUUUUUGUAUUUUUAGUAGAGAUGGGGUUUUACCAUGUUGGCCAGGCUGGUCUUGAACUUCAGACCUCAGGCGAUCCACCUGCCUCAGCCACCCAAAGUGCUGGAAUUAUAGGCGUGAGCCACCAUGCCCGGCCCUCCUUGCCUUUUAAUGUCCUCUCUCCUGUCCUUUUUGCAAGUCUCCCUCCCCAUCAGGCUGUCACGUAUGGCUCUGCGGGAGCCUCAUUUGUGGCUGUUCCAUCUGCUGCCUGCAGGCACCUCGGCUGAGGCCCCACCCUCCUGGGCCUUCCUCCUCCCCGAUGCUGUUUCUCAGGCUCCCCUGCCGGCCCCCCUCAUCUCUAAACGUUGGCAGCGGGUGCCAGGGCUCAAUCCUUGGAGCUCCUCUUUGUCUACACCCUUCCCCAGGGUGGUCUCAUCCAGCUCUAGGGGCUGAUCCCCACCCACGAGCCAGUGACGCCCGAUGAGUGUCCCCAGCUGGCCCCUGCCUGUUCAGCUUUGCCCGGUGGAAGUCUCGGAUUUAUCACCGGGCAUCACCACCUCGACCUGUCCAGCCUCAGCGCCUGUUCUCCCUGCUCCAUCCCACCCCAAACCUGCCAUCCCCAGCUGGCCCCAUCAGUUUCAGUAGCUCUGUCCUUCGAAGUGCUAGGGCCCAAACCUUGGAAUAGGCCUUGACCUUCUCUUUCCUUUACCACCACCCUUCAUCAGAUAGGCCGUACUGCUGUUGGCUCCGCCUUCUGUUCCUCGCCCUCUCCACGGCUGCUGACCCAGCCUAGCCCCGCCAGCUCCCCUCCUACAGGCUCCUUAAGCCUAAGUCAGAUCAUGCAUUUCUCUGCUCAGACCCUCCCCGGCUCCUGCUCCGGCUCCUGCUCCGGUCCUCACUCAGAGCCGCAGCUCAGGUCCUUACAAAGGCCUGCAAGGACCUAUGGGAUUUUACCCUGACUCUGUCUGCUUGGGCCCCCUCUGCUGACAGCCCUCCUCCUACAGAGCCCAACCUCAGUGGGCUCACUCCCUCACUUCCUUUAGUCUGUGAGGCCCUCCCUGGCCACCCCACAUCAAGCUACCCCCACCUCUGGACCCUGCCCCAUCCUUCCGCACAGCACCAACUUCUAUUCCCUUUACUCAUUGGUUGCUUUCCUGCCCAUUUCCGUGCAUUUGAAUGGAAGCUGCACGGUGCCUAGCGUGUGGAUGGUAUUCAAGAAGUAGUUGUUGAAUUGAAUAAAUGAAUGAGUGAAUGAAUGGCUGACCAUUCCCUGUGUUCUUUCCUGAGGAAUGCCCACUUGGCUAAGAAUCUCUCUCCACCCGGCACUCCAGACUUGUAGCGAGUUGAAGCUAGCCUAUCUUCCCCACGCUAUACUUAAACUGAGCUCGUGCAACCAGCGGACCCUCCAACCACCACCGGCCAUAUUUCCCACCAGGACCACAUCCCCUGUCCCCAGCCUCUGUGUGAGCUGUCACCUCCUCCCUGAAGGCCUCCUGAUUCAUCCAUGUCUCCCUCUCUCCGGUGCCCUCCUGAGGGGUACCAUGUCCUACCUGUGUCUGCCGGCCUCAUGACUGGUGACUCUCCCACCCUCCUGAUGGACAGUUAACUCGCCAAGGGCUCUGUCUCCUUCAUUUCUGUAACCCCGGCACUCAGCAGAGCCUCUGCACACAGCAGGCGCCCACUCAGUGUUUGCUAACUGGAGUUGAACAUUUGCCUUAGUUUUAUGUUUAGUCUUUUCUGUUGGCCUUAUUUUAUUUCUUUUUUUUUUUUUUUUUUGAGACAGGGUCUCACUAUGUUGCCCAGGCUGGUCUCAAACUGUCAGGCUCAAGUGAUCCUCUUGCCUCAGCCCCCUGAGGAACUGGGAUUACAGGUGUGAGCCACCAUGCCCAGUGAGUUUAUUUUAUUUUAGUCAUGUUCAUUUGUUUUCUAGUUCAUCUUUAAUUUGAUUUUUACAACAUUUAUUCUCCUUUUUCUGAUUACAAAACGAACGUGCUCAUUGCCAAAAACAUUGAAAAUACACCGUAAAUACACAGGAAAUAGGAAAUUACUCAUGAUUUGGCCGCGCAGAGAUCACUGUGAUUAGCAUUUGGUGGGUCACUUUGACUUCUUCUCAUUGUGCACUUUCCCUUUUAGUAAAUCUUACAUUGGGACCAUU